UAUUGCACAAUGGGCGCAAGCCUGAUGCAGCCAUGCCGCGUGUAUGAAGAAGGCCUUCGGGUUGUAAAGUACUUUCAGCGGGGCGGAAGGGAGUAAAGUUAAUACCUUUACUCAUUGACGUUACUUGCAGAAGAAGCACCGGCUAACUCCGUGCCAGCAGCCGCGUUAAUACGGAGGGUUCAAGCGUUAGUUGGAAUUACUGGGCGUAAAGCGCACGCCGGCGGUUUGUUAAGUCAGAUGUGAAAUCCCCGGGCUCAACCUGGGAACUGCAUCUGAUACUGGCAAGCUUGAGUCUCGUAGAGGGGGGUAGAAUUCCAGGUGUAGCGGUGAAAUGCGUAGAGAUCUGGAGGAAUACCGGUGGCGAAGGCGGCCCCCUGGACGAAGACUGACGCUCAGGUGCGAAAGCGUGGGGAGCAAA
rnacentral:rRNA from 1 species